rnacentral:rRNA from 1 species
AAACCAGCACCUCAAGUGGUCAGGAUGAUUAUUGGGCCUAAAGCAUCCGUAGCCUGCUCUGUAAGUUUUCGGUUAAAUCUGUACGCUCAACGUACAGGCUGCCGGGAAUACUGCAGAGCUAGGGAGUGGGAGAGGUAGACGGUACUCGGGAGGAAGUGGUAAAAUGCUUUGAUCUCUCGAUGACCACCUGUGGCGAAGGCGGUCUACCAGAACACGUCCGACGGUGAGGGAUGAAAGCUGGGAGAGCAAACCGGAUUAGAAACCCCAGUAGUCC